AUUGAACGCUGGCGGCAGGCUUAACACAUGCAAGUCGAGCGGAGCGAGGGUGCUUGCACCUUAGCUUAGCGGCGGACAGGUGAGUAAUGCUUAGGAAUCUGCCUAUUAGUGGGGGACAACAUUCCGAAAGGGAUGCUAAUACCGCAUACGCCCUACGGGGGAAAGCAGGGGAUCUUCGGACCUUGCGCUAAUAGAUGAGCCUAAGUCGGAUUAGCUAGUUGGUGGGGUAAAGGCCUACCAAGGCGACGAUCUGUAGCGGGUCUGAGAGGAUGAUCCGCCACACUGGGACUGAGACACGGCCCAGACUCCUACGGGAGGCAGCAGUGGGGAAUAUUGGACAAUGGGCGGAAGCCUGAUCCAGCCAUGCCGCGUGUGUGAAGAAGGCCUUUUGGUUGUAAAGCACUUUAAGCGAGGAGGAGGCUACUAGUAUUAAUACUACUGGAUAGUGGACGUUACUCGCAGAAUAAGCACCAGCUAACUCUGUGCCAGCCGCCGCCGUAA
rnacentral:rRNA from 1 species